rnacentral:lncRNA from 1 species
AUUUAUCAAAUCUUAACGAUUUCUAUGCAAUGCAAUUCUAAUCAACUUCCAGUAGAAUUUAUUCAUUUUAAUUCAUUAACAACAGGGAUACAACUUAAGUGAGGACUUAGCCUUUUUUGUUCUUAAAUAUUGAAGCAUACUAAAAUUUACCAACUACAGGUUUCAUAAGACGCUACAACUGCUACUACCACUAGAAGGCUCCGGUGGAAAUGCUGGUGCGUCAGGGAUGUAAGGUCGGCUCAUGGCAUAUAUUUUAUGAGCAUCCUUUGGACAAGAUUCUUGAGGAGAUGGGCUCAUAUUUCCUGCAAAGUCAAACUGUUACACUCUUUACAUUGGUGUUUCAGAUUUGCCCUGGUCCUUGGAAAUUUAUACAGAUUUAUACUUUCAACCGUUUUUUAAUUCUGAAAAAGAGGAUUCGAACCCAACACUUUUGAAAAAAAAAAAAUUUGAUACAUGUAAUUAAUUAAGUUGGGGUAUAAAAGUAGAGCUUGGUAGGAAGGCAGUUUUUAUUAGAAAGACCCGUCAAACAAGUUUAGUACAAAGUAGCCUGAUCAGUUUGAGGCAGCAAUUGAUGGGGAGGCUGAAGACUUGGAGGAUGACCCUGUGAAAAUAGAAUGCCAGGUUGAGUAUUACCUUGCUGGCCGUGAUGGUUAUUGCCACUUGAAAGUUGCUGCUGGUUCUUGUCUUGGUUACUCAUCUGCUCCUGUUCAGAAUCUCCCUCUCCUGGAACUUCCUACUUUCUUCUUUCUCUACUUGUUGAUUGGAUUGGUCUUUUAAUUUCUUGAAGGAAAGAAGUUUAAAGAUGGCUUUGAAUUGUUUUGAUU